CGCAUCUGUGCAUGCAGCAUAUCAAUAAGCGGAGGAAAAGAAACUAACAAGGAUUCCCUUAGUAACGGCGAGUGAAGCGGGAAGAGCUCAAAUUUGAAAUCUUCAAGGUUUUACCUUGACGAAUUGUAGUUUAAAGAAGUGUUUUCUGUUGAAGUUUUGGUAAAAGUUCUUUGGAAUAGGACAUCAUAGAGGGUGAGAAUCCCGUAUUUGACCAUUAUUUUCAGCUGUGUGAUACACUUUCAAAGAGUCGGAUUGUUUGGGAAUGCAGUCCAAAAUGGGUGGUAAAUUUCAUCUAAAGCUAAAUAUUGGCGAGAGACCGAUAGCGAACAAGUACCGUGAGGGAAAGAUGAAAAGAACUUUGAAAAGAGAGUUAAACAGUACGUGAAAUUGUCAAAAGGGAAGCGUUUGACACCAGUGUUGUUUUCUCGAAAAUCAAUUAAAAAGAGUUAGAUUUUGUUGUGUAUUGACCUUAACAGCUUGCAUUUCAAUUUUCUUGCUUUUUUUAAUGCACUUUUCGUUUAACAAGUCAACAUCAGUUUCUUUUGUUGUAAAAAGGUCAUUGGAAGGUGGCUUUCUUUUCGGAGAAAGUGUUUAUAGCCUUUGACUCCUGCAAUCGGAGAGACUGAGGUCUGCAGCGUAGAUCCUUCGGGGUUAGAUACAUUUGUGCUAAGUUAUAGCUUUUUAUAGACAACUUGUUGACUAUGAUUAGUCUUGUAGCUUACUCGCUUAUGCUAUUUUACCUACGCUUAGGAUGUUGAUCUGUAGUGCGUGCGC
rnacentral:rRNA from 1 species